rnacentral:rRNA from 1 species
GGAUCCAGGCAGCUUGCUGCCUGGUGAGAGUGGCGAACGGGUGAGUAAUGCGUGACCGACCUGCCCCAUACACCGGAAUAGCUCCUGGAAACGGGUGGUAAUGCCGGAUGCUCCGACUCCUCGCAUGGGGUGUCGGGAAAGAUUUCAUCGGUAUGGGAUGGGGUCGCGUCCUAUCAGGUAGUCGGCGGGGUAACGGCCCACCGAGCCUACGACGGGUAGCCGGCCUGAGAGGGCGACCGGCCACAUUGGGACUGAGAUACGGCCCAGACUCCUACGGGAGGCAGCAGUGGGGAAUAUUGCACAAUGGGCGCAAGCCUGAUGCAGCGACGCCGCGUGCGGGAUGACGGCCUUCGGGUUGUAAACCGCUUUUGAUCGGGAGCAAGCCUUCGGGUGAGUGUACCUUUCGAAUAAGCACCGGCUAACUACGUGCCAGCAGCCGCGGUAAUACGUAGGGUGCAAGCGUUAUCCGGAAUUAUUGGGCGUAAAGGGCUCGUAGGCGGUUCGUCGCGUCCGGUGUGAAAGUCCAUCGCUUAACGGUGGAUCUGCGCCGGGUACGGGCGGGCUGGAGUGCGGUAGGGGAGACUGGAAUUCCCGGUGUAACGGUGGAAUGUGUAGAUAUCGGGAAGAACACCAAUGGCGAAGGCAGGUCUCUG